rnacentral:lncRNA from 1 species
CAUAGGCACACACAGUCGGUCCCUGUACCGUAGUACUCCUGAACUGUCCAUAGAAAAAGUCUCUGGCUGUCCGCUUUCUAACAAACUUUUAAUUCCUUUUUAUUUCUACAAUAGAAAAUAAUUUAUGCUUAUCCAAAAAUCGAAGAAUAUCUACUGUGAAUCUAUAUUUUAAUUCAAAAUUUAUUUUAUUUUUCUUUAUCUUUAUCUAUAAUAUAUAUAUAUAUAUAUAGAGAGAGAGAGAGAGAGAGAGAGAAAGAGAGAUAGAGAGAGUCCGGCUGCUAUGCUAUCAAUAGCACCAAGCAAUUGGUACUAUCAAAUUUUCUGCCGUUAGAUUAACCCCUUUGAUCAUUUUUACUCAUUAGAUCAUAUUAUUCAACCAACCACCCACUCAACCCUAGGGAGCCCAUAUUAUCCUAACCGCACAUCUCUUAAUUCAAUGGCAAAAAACUUGGUAGCAUCAAUGACUUGGUGCUAUUAAUAGUAUAUUAGCCUAGUUAUAUAUAUAUAUAUAUAUAUAUAUAUAUAUUAUAUAUAUAUAUAUAUAUAUAGAGUUGAUCUAAGAUACUUUUACAAGUAUCAUUCCAUGUUGCUAUCCCUUUUUUUUAGCCAUUGGAUCUACUUUUUGAUUACAAAUAGCCCUUGGAUCAAACACUAUUCCACCUACCACCACCUACCACCACCUACUCCCAUCAUCUCAACCUCACAUCUCUCCAUCCAAGGGCUAAAAACACAUAAGUAUCACUUGGGUGAUACUUGUAAAAGUAUUCUAGCCCUACUCUAUAUAUAUAUAAAAGUUAAAGAUAUAAUAAAAAUAAUUUAACCCAGGUUGGCUGACACGAUAGGGAAUGGACAGAAAGUGUAUGAAAAGUAUAUGAGUUAUUAAUAAGUGCCCAUUCGCUAUGCUUCUAAAUAAUGCUUGUACUCGCUACCAACUUUUUAAUUUUUAGUAGGGGCUUUGUUUAGUUCGGAUAUAAGUAAGAAUUAUCUAUUUCAGAGAUAGAUAUAAGUUUAAGAUAAAUUAAUUUUGCGUAUGAAAAUUGAGUUGCUCUCGAAAAUAAAAAAAAAUAGCGUUUGUAUAGAGAAGAUAGAAUAACAAGAAUAAUGGGUAUAUAUAAAUAAAAAAUAAUAAUAUUGCCCCUAAUAUUAUAUUUAAAUUUAAAUUUUUAAAUUUUAUAUUUAAAUUUUUAAAUUUAAAUAUAUAACUUUUAAAUUUUCAAAUUUUAAAAAUUAAAUUUAAAUUUUUAAAUCUCAAAUUCAAAAAUGCAAAGUUCUAAAUUUUAAAUUUUAAAUUUUAAAUUUAAGAUUAAAUCUAAAUUUAAAAUUUUAAAAAAAUCAAAUUUUAAAUUUAAAAAAUUUAAAAUAUUAAUUUAAAAUUUAAAAUUUAGAAUUUAAAAUUAUAAAUUUUAAUUUUUGAAUUAUAAAUUAUAACUUUUUAAAAUUUAAAUUUAAAAAUUAAAUAGGGGUUUCUAGAGGUGGGGUUAACGAACCUCACCCUU